GAUGAACGCUAGCUACAGGCUUAACACAUGCAAGUCGAGGGGCAGCAUGGUCUUAGCUUGCUAAGGCCGAUGGCGACCGGCGCACGGGUGAGUAACGCGUAUCCAACCUGCCUUACACUCUUGGACAGCCUUCUGAAAGGGAGAUUAAUACAAGAUGUUAUCAUGAGUAAGCAUUUUCGCAUGAUUAAAGGUUUACCGGUGUAAGAUGGGGAUGCGUUCCAUUAGAUAGUAGGCGGGGUAACGCCCACCUAGUCUUCGAUGGAUAGGGGUUCUGAGAGGAAGUCCCCCACAUUGGAACUGAGACACGGUCCAAACUCCUACGGGAGGCAGCAGUGAGGAUAUUGGUCAAGUGGGCGAGAGCCUGAACC
rnacentral:rRNA from 1 species